rnacentral:rRNA from 1 species
UGGCUGCAGUGGGGAAUUUUGGACAAUGGGGGAAACCCUGAUCCAGCAAUGCCGCGUGUGUGAAGAAGGCCUUCGGGUUGUAAAGCACUUUUGUCAGGAACGAAACGGUGGGGGCUAAUAUCCUCUGCUAAUGACGGUACCUGAAGAAUAAGCACCGGCUAACUACGUGCCAGCAGCCGCGGUAAUACGUAGGGUGCAAGCGUUAAUCGGAAUUACUGGGCGUAAAGCGUGCGCAGGCGGUUGUGCAAGACAGAUGUGAAAUCCCCGGGCUCAACCUGGGAAUUGCAUUUGUGACUGCACGGCUAGAGUGUGUCAGAGGGGGGUAGAAUUCCACGUGUAGCAGUGAAAUGCGUAGAUAUGUGGAGGAAUACCGAUGGCGAAGGCAGCCCCCUGGGAUAACACUGACGCUCAUGCACGAAAGCGUGGGGAGCAAACAGGAUUAGAUACCCGAGUAGUC